AUCCUGCCCGGUCAAGAAAAGUCUCUAUCGAGGUUAAAGGUACCCGUACCGCAAACCGACACAGGGGGGUGAGGAGAGUAUCCUAAGGCCAGCGAGAGAACUGUUGUUAAGGAACUCGGCAAAAUGACCCCGUAACGUAGGGAUAAGGGGUGCCACCAUCAGGUGGCCGCAGAGAAUAGGCCCAAGCGACUGUUUACCAAAAACAUAGGUUUCUGCUAAGUCGCAAGACGAUGUAUAGGAGCUGACGCCUGCCCGGUGCUGGAAGGUUAAGGGGAUCUGUUAGAGCAA
rnacentral:rRNA from 1 species